rnacentral:rRNA from 1 species
UACGUAGGGGGCAAGCGUUGUCCGGAAUCAUUGGGCGUAAAGAGCGUGUAGGCGGCCCGGUAAGUCCGCUGUGAAAGUCAAAGGCUUAACCUUUGAAUGUCAGUGGAUACUGCCGGGCUAGAGUCCGGAAGAGGCGAGUGGAACUCCUGGUGUAGCGGUGAAAUGCGCAGAUAUCAGGAGGAACACCAAUGGCGAAGGCAGCUCGCUGGGACGUGACUGACGCUGAGACGCGAAAGCGUGGGGAGCAAACAGG